UGUUGGUAUCUUAGUGGCGGACGGGUGAGUAACGCGUGGGUAACCUGCCUUACACUGGGGGAUAACACUUAGAAAUAGGUGCUAAUACCGCAUAACAGGGAAAGAUGCAUGUCUUUUCCUUGAAAACUCCGGUGGUGUAAGAUGGACCCGCGUCUGAUUAGCUGGUUGGCGGGGUAACGGCCCACCAAGGCGACGAUCAGUAGCCGGCCUGAGAGGGUGAACGGCCACAUUGGGACUGAGACACGGCCCAAACUCCUACGGGAGGCAGCAG
rnacentral:rRNA from 1 species